rnacentral:rRNA from 1 species
CCUACGGGAGGCUGCAGUAGGGAAUCUUCCGCAAUGGACGAAAGUCUGACGGAGCAACGCCGCGUGAGCGAAGAAGGUCUUCGGAUCGUAAAGCUCUGUUGUUAGGGAAGAACAAGUACGGGAGGAAAUGACCGUACCUUGACGGUACCUAACGAGGAAGCCACGGCUAACUANGUGCCAGCAGCCGCGGUAAUACGGAGGUGNCAAGNGUUGUCCNGAAUUAUNAGGCGUAANGCGCGCGNAGGNGGUCUUUUAAGNCUGNUGUGAAAUCUUGCGGCUCAACCGCAAGCGGUCAUUGGAAAAUGGGAGACUUGAGUGCAGAAGAGUAAAGCGGAAUUCGACGUGUAGCGGUGAAAUGAGUAGAGCUGUGGAGGAACACCACUGGCUAAGGUGGCAUUCUGGACUGUAACUGACGGUGAGGCGCGAAAGCGUGGGGAGCAAACAGGAUUAGAUACCCGGGUAGUC